GCACACACCGCCCGUCAAACCACCCGAGUGAGGUCUGGAUGAGGCUGUGGUCGUUGCCGCAGUCGAAUCUAGGUUUCGCAAGGGGGGUUAAGUCGUAACAAGGUAGCCGUAGGGGAAUCUGCGGCUGGAUCACCUCCUAACGAU
rnacentral:rRNA from 1 species